CCAAGGAGUCUAACAUGUGCGCAAGUCAUGGGGUCUAUCGAAACCUAAAGGCACAAUGAAAGUGAAGGCCGGCUCGUUUCGGCCUAGGCGGGAUCCCCUUCCUACGGAGGGGGCGCACCGCUGGCCCGUCUCGUCCGACUCGUCGGUGAGGCGGAGCAAGAGCGUACACGUUGGGACCCGAAAGAUGGUGAACUAUGCCUGAGUAGGACGAAGCCAGAGGAAACUCUGGUGGAGGUCCGUAGCGAUUCUGACGUGCAAAUCGAUCGUCAAACUUGGGUAUAGGGGCGAAAGACUAAUCGAACCAUCUA
rnacentral:rRNA from 1 species